GAUGAACGCUGGCGGCGUGCCUAAUACAUGCAAGUCGAGCGAACAGACGAGGAGCUUGCUCCUCUGACGUUAGCGGCGGACGGGUGAGUAACACGUGGAUAACCUACCUAUAAGACUGGGAUAACUUCGGGAAACCGGAGCUAAUACCGGAUAAUAUAUUGAACCGCAUGGUUCAAUAGUGAAAGACGGUUUUGCUGUCACUUAUAGAUGGAUCCGCGCCGCAUUAGCUAGUUGGUAAGGUAACGGCUUACCAAGGCAACGAUGCGUAGCCGACCUGAGAGGGUGAUCGGCCCCACUGGAGCUGAGACACGGUCCAGACUCCUACGGGAGGCAGCAGUAGGGAAUCUUCCGCAAUGGGCGAAAGCUUGACGGAGCAACGCCGCGUGAGUGAUGAAGGUCUUCGGAUCGUAAAACUCUGUUAUUAGGGAAGAACAAAUGUGUAAGUAACUAUGCACGUCUUGACGGUACCUAAUCAGAAAGCCACGGCUAACUACGUG
rnacentral:rRNA from 1 species